GUCAGCACCACGGACAGUGACUCACAAAGCAAACCUUCUAGUGUGGGUGCAUCCUGCCAGGAGAGCGAUGUCUUUGAAGGUCUUUAUCAACUCAUUCCCCUUCUCUUCCUAGCCUUCUACUUUUUUUUAGGUCAGUAUAAUUUUUGCCUUUUCAUAAUGGGUCCUUGUCACCGCCUCUGAAGAGGAUGAAGCCUGCAUAGGACUGGAGAGGGCCCGGUGAGAUCAGUGAGUAACUUGUAGCAAACUGCAGCGUGUGAGGAAAGAAGGGGAAACAGCUGGAGCAUUAAAAACCCAGGGUAACCCACUGAGACACGGGAGCGGAAAUUCCUUUGUUUAAUAUUUAGAAGUAAGAAACACUAUACUUUCUGGCAAGAAAAUCCUUGGUGUCCUGUUACAACACAUUUUAAAAAAAAAAAAUAAAAGCCAGUUUAGAAGGGUUUCUUGUCAGUCCUCUAAGAAAGAAGGAGAAUCGAAAAGCAGUAGCACGUAUUAUCCCAAAGGGAGUGUUAAAAAAAGAACCCUAGCUUUCCACAUUUCAAGGGGUCCCCUGAGACCGUCCACACCUCAUUAAAUACGUGAACAAGCACGAGAUUUGGAACCUCUGGAGGCACUUCUGGCUUCGGCUGGUAGAAAAAAAUGAUGAGAGAUUUGUGGGUCUUUGUGAAGUGGACCGCAGUAUAAUAUAAAACCAAAAUAAAGCUCCUCGGCUUGUACCAAGGGGGAAGACUAUAAAAGAGGAAAACAAACCUACAAUCUCCGUUUCGUUUAUUUCUCCAAAUUAAUAUUUUUCCUUGGCACAGUCUAUGCCAAGAAAAUUCAAUUUAUUUUCAGAAUGUCUUCCCUUCUCCUUUUCUCAUCCUCCUCUUCCCCGCUUCUCUCCUUUGUCCUUUUCUCUUCCUCUUCCUCGUCUUUCUCCUCCUCCUCCCCUUCUCUUCUUCCUUUUCCUCUUCUCCUUGUCCUUCUGUAUCAGAAGUUGGCAAAUUUUUUCUGUAAAGGGCCAGAAAGUUAAAUACUUUAGGCCUUGC
rnacentral:lncRNA from 1 species